rnacentral:lncRNA from 1 species
GGUUAAUUUACUUUAGCUCCUCCACAUACGAACAUUCGUUCAUUAGUUUUAUAAACUUAUUGAUACGAACGUUUUAAUCACAUGGCAAGAUGCAACAAUGUUCCAACGAUUCUGUUUUUGCAGUGCAAAACUGUCAGAGGAAGGAAUUUUCACUUGUAAAAAUUAAUGGCCAUUACGUUGAUACACUGAGCGUCAUACCAAUUGUCGUAAUAGAAGUUGAUACAAACAAAAGCGGAGUUUUAACGCUUUCUGUUGUUCCUCGCUUGAGAAAAUGUGAAAUUUUAAUACCUUAACUACCCCUUGUGCAAACAUUACCGGUGCAGAGUGACGUACAGGGUGUUCUAAAACGGCGUACAUUUGUCAAACGUUUCCUCGUCUUUCAAUUUGUAAAACAUUUUUCUUUCAGCGAUAAUGUUGAAUACGAUCUACAGUUUAUAAUAUGGUGAAUUUAAAUAAAACGAUAAUUCAUUCAAAACGAUUCGCUAUUAAACUUGAUUUCGUGCUCUUCACGAGGGUAUCUUUACAGAAAAUGUUUGCAGGACUUCCGAAUUAAUAAAACAAUUAUUUCAAGCGGAAGAUUGUAUGAAACGAAUGUUAUGAAACGUUCAUCGGAAUGUGCAAAUUGAAAUUCGAAGGAGUAUUUUUUUUAGAAGGCACUUCGCACCGGAAACGCGGAAAAGAUAGAAAUCGCCAUAAAUUACAAUCGAUGCCUGGAUACCAAACGAACCAGUGUUUCGCGAAGUUGGAGACGAUAAAGGAGAACAGGAAGAAGAGUCGACGAGGAAUCGCGGCGAUAUUUUUUUCACCCUCGUAAAUAUUCCCUUGAAGCGGGCAUAUUAGCAAGCGGUACGUUCUUGGCAAGAAGCCGCUGUUAGUGACAGGGCAUUCAUAUUAGCGAACGACCGCACGUUGCCCGCUCUUUCUCUUCUUCUGCUUCAAGCAAUGGAAACGGUACACGAGCUCUGUCGUCCUCCUCUCGAGCAAACGAAGUGGAAGGCCGCUGAUUGGUAAUCGUUAAUUACGCCCGUAACUUCCUCCAGAGGAACUCCUAUUUCGACAGUUUUUAAAAUAUCGGCACUUUUGGCGGAGAUAGGGAGAAAGGGGGACGAGAAUGGCGGAUCGGAGAGAAAGUGGAGUCGAGAGAGGAUAUCGUGGACAAGAACGUAUUGAUCGAGUUAUAGUCUUUGGGGUCUCGAGCCUCUAACACGAGGGAGCCAAUGAGAGAUCUGGAGGGUGAAUUUAGAGCAAGAAUGGCGACCGAAGGUCCCUAUCGAAACGAACCCCUUUGCACAGUAGGGCAAAACCACAAGAAAUGGGGAACAAAUUUAACACGCCACUUUUUUCGAUCAAAAUGUCGAAUCCUGUUAACCCUUGUAACCGUUGCGUAUCUUCACUUGCUGUACCUUGUUUUAAAUUUGUAUAUUCCAGGAUCCAUUGAAAUAUAUUUGUAAUUUAGUAAAUCCAUUCAUUAAUUCUACACUGCUUCAAAUUUAUAAUUCUAGCAAAUUUUCAUUUUUGAAAAUAAAAUUGGUUUAUUUGGAAUUGUAUGGUUCACGUUGAAUUUCUAUGCCGCCAUUUUCUCUGAGAAAGUACACCGGGUUCGAUACUAUACUUUCGAGCAACAUGAAUAUGCAACAAACUGUGUUAAUAUAUGGUUUAAAUUAA